GGGGAAUUGGCGCAGUUGGCAGCGCGUGUCCUUAGCAUGGACAAGGUCGCCGGUUCGAUUCCGGCAUUCUCCA
rfam:Fragilariopsis cylindrus CCMP1102 unplaced genomic scaffold FRACYscaffold_85, whole genome shotgun sequence.